UGGGGAAUAUUGGACAAUGGGGGAAACCCUGAUCCAGCCAUGCCGCGUGAGUGAUGAAGGCCUUCGGGUUGUAAAGCUCUUUUGGGUGGGACGAUGAUGACGGUACCACCAGAAUAAGCUCCGGCUAACUUCGUGCCAGCAGCCGCGGUAAUACGAAGGGAGCUAGCGUUGUUCGGAAUUACUGGGCGUAAAGGGCGCGUAGGCGGCCUAACAAGUCAGGUGUGAAAGCCCUGGGCUCAACCCGGGAAUUGCGCUUGAGACUGUUAGGCUUGAAUUCGGUAGAGGUUGGUGGAAUUCCCAGUGUAGAGGUGAAAUUCGUAGAGAUUGGGAAGAACACCCGUGGCGAAGGCGGCCAACUGGACCGACAUUGACGCUGAGGCGCGAAAGCGUGGGGAGCAAACA
rnacentral:rRNA from 1 species